ACAAUGAUACUCCCGUCUGGUCAUAAAGUCGUGUGUGUAUGGCAAGUGCCAUAGAUGCCGCAACAAGUGAGGGCGGCUCGGAGAGAUCCUCGGAGGGGUUUGAUUCCCGUG
rnacentral:ncRNA from 2 species